rnacentral:tRNA from 1 species
GGGCCUAUAGCUCAGUUGGUUAGAGCACCUGACUCAUAAUCAGGGGGUCCCAGGAUCGUGCCCUGGUGGGCCCA